AGUGACUCCACCCUGAGAAUCACAGACCUGAGAGAGGAGGAUUCAGCUGAGUAUAAGUUAAGAGUCAUAACAGAUCAGACAAACUGGGAGCCCACCUUGCCUGGAACAUCUCUGACUGUCACAGGUCUGCAGGUGAAGGUGACUCCUGCCACUGUGACAGAGGGACAGAAGGUGACACUGACCUGUAGCACCACCUGUACUCUGAGUGACAACCCCAACCCCACCUACAUCUGGUACAAGAAUGGACAUGUAACCAACCAAUCUAACAGUCUGUUCCUAAACCCAGUCAGCAGUGAGGAUACAGGCAGAUACUCCUGUGCUGUAGAAGGCCAUGAGGAUCUCCACUCUCCUGAAGAGACUCUCACUGUCAGAUAUGGCCCAAAGGACAGCUCAGUGUCAGUCAGUCCCUCUGGUGAAAUAGUGGAGGGCAGUUCAGUGACUCUGACCUGCAGCAGUGAUGCCAACCCACCUGUGUACAACUACACCUGAUACAAGAAGAACAUAACCUCACCAAAAGCAUCAGGACAGAGUUACAGCAUCACCAACAUCAGCUCUGAGGACAGUGGAGAAUACUACUGUGAGGCCCGG